UACAGAGGUGCCCGAGCGUUGUUUCGGAUUCGACUAGGGGCGUAAAGGGUGGCUAGGUGGCUUUGACAAGUCUGAUGUGAAAUCACCGGGCUUAACCCGGAAAUGGCAUUAGAAACUGGUGAGGCUUGAGGCUUGGAGGGGGAACUGGAAUUCGUCGGUGUAGCAGUGAAAUGCGUAGAGAAUCGAGAGGAACACCAGUGGCGAAAGGCGAAGUUCCUGGACAAGUCCUGACACUGAGCACGAAAGCCGGGGGAGACAAACAGGG
rnacentral:rRNA from 1 species